rnacentral:lncRNA from 1 species
AUAUUUAUCAUAUAAUCUUUUCUUAAAUGAAGAUAUAACAUCUAAAGUUUACCUAAUUAAUAUAUUAUUUUUAUAUUAAAUUAAAAAAAUUAAUAAAAAUGAUAAAUGUUAAAACAUAAUUUGAAUGAAGUACAAACAAUCGAUCAAUUUUAGUUAUAAAUAAGAAAUGAUGGAGGGGACUAGUGCAUUGUCAAAAUUUGUUUUCUUUUCAUUUCAAGGUUUUCAUACCACCAAUUGAGAAAUAGAUCGUGAAACCAAAGUAAGUUUCUUUGUUUAUUUUUUAUUUUUUUCACUGAAUUUUAUGAAUUUGGUUGUGGCUAAUGGGGGAGUAGGUCUAUUUUUUUUAUAUUAUUAAACUUUGGUUUAGUUUCUUAUGAGUUUUAUAUUCUUUUGACCUAAAAACUAGGUUGUCAGAUUAUCAUGUGGUGGAGAUAUUAGAUAUUUUAUUCAAUGAAGAUCACGAGCGAAGUGUCUCAAGUUAGGACAUUCCAUUCGAAAAUUCGAGAGUCUCCCAUUGACAUG